ensembl:snRNA U6 U6 spliceosomal RNA
GUGCUCACUUCAGCAGCACAUAUACUAAGAUUGGAACAAUAUAGAGAAGAUUAGUAUAGCCCCUGUGUGAGGAUGACAUGCAGACUCAUGAAGUGUUCCAUAUAUAU